rnacentral:rRNA from 1 species
UAGAGUUUCGGUAUCGUUGGCUACAGGACGAACGCUGGCGGCGUGCUUAACACAUGCAAGUCGAGCGGUAAGGCCUUCGGGGUACACGAGCGGCGAACGGGUGAGUAACACGUGGGUGACCUGCCCUCCACUCUGGGAUAAGCCCGGGAAACUGGGUCUAAUACCGGAUAGGACUACUGGGUGCAUGCCUGGUGGUGGAAAGUUUUUUCGGUGGGGGAUGGGCCCGCGGUCUAUCAGCUUGUUGGUGGGGUGAUGGCCUACCAAGGCGACGACGGAUAGCCGGCCUGAGAGGGUGAUCGGCCACACUGGGACUGAGACACGGCCCAGACUCCUACGGGAGGCAGCAGUGGGGAAUCUUGCGCAAUGGGCGGAAGCCUGACGCAGCAACGCCGCGUGGGGGAUGACGGCCUUCGGGUUGUAAACCUCUUUCGCGAUCGACGAAGGCCCACUUUCUGUGGGUUGACGGUAGGUCGAGAAGAAGCACCGGCCAACUACGUG